rfam:Ictidomys tridecemlineatus contig056308, whole genome shotgun sequence.
AAAAUGGUUUUUUUAAAAAAACCACACAUUUUAAUGAAUUAAGUUUAGU